CCAGGCUGGAGUGCAGUGGCGCAGUGUGAUCUCGGCUCACUGCAACCUCCACCUCCCAGGUUCAAGUGAUUCUCCCGCCUCAGCCUCCUGAGUCGCUGGG